UACGUAGGGCGCAAGCGUUAUCCGGAAUUAUUGGGCGUAAAGAGCUCGUAGGCGGUGUGUCGCGUCGGCCGUGAAAACCUGGGGCUUAACUCUGGGCGUGCGGUCGAUACGGGCAUCACUGGAGUUCGGCAGGGGAGACUGGAAUUCCUGGUGUAGCGGUGAAAUGCGCAGAUAUCAGGAGGAACACCGGUGGCGAAGGCGGGUCUCUGGGCCGAUACUGACGCUGAGACGCGAAAGCGUGGGGAGCAAACAGG
rnacentral:rRNA from 1 species